GUGGGGAAUAUUGGGCAAUGGGGGAAACCCUGACCCAGCAACGCCGCGUGAGGGAAGAAGGCUUUCGAGUUGUAAACCUCUGUCCUAUGGGAAGAAGAAAGUGACUGUACCAUAGGAGGAAGCUCCGGCUAACUACGUGCCAGCAGCCGCGGUAAUACGUAGGGAGCAAGCGUUGUCCGGAAUUACUGGGCGUAAAGGGUGCGUAGGCGGCGCAGUUAGUCAGAAGUGAAAUAUCGGGGCUUAACUCCGGGACUGCUUCUGAUACUGCUGUGCUCGAGUGCAGGAGAGGUAAGUGGAAUUCCUAGUGUAGCGGUGAAAUGCGUAGAUAUUAGGAGGAACACCAGUGGCGAAGGCGACUUACUGGACUGUAACUGACGCUGAGGCACGAAAGCGUGGGUAGCAAACAGG
rnacentral:rRNA from 1 species